rnacentral:rRNA from 1 species
GUCGUCGCGGACGUAGCCAGCCACACAUCUCUUUCGCCCUUAUCCAUCCAACCCCUCCUCACUCUGCAGAGCCUCGCCCCACCACUCUCUCUCCCUCUCCUUCUUCCUCCCCACCACUCAUGGCGUCGUUGCCGGCGGCGAGGCCGGGCAGCCAUGGAUCUGGGAACCUCGCGUCGCGGCUACCCCGGUCGUGCUGCGCGUGGAGGUGCUCUGUCGGCCCGCAUCAGCGGCGCAAGCAUGAGCACCAGGAGGCACCCAGGCCGUGCAUCGAUGAGAAGCUCGCCGCCGUGGCGGCCCCAGUCGCCUCGUGCUUGGACGGCGGCCCGCGUCAGUCAUGCGAACAAGAGCACAGGAGGCCACGAUGGCUGCAAAUGGUGGGGGCGAGGGUUGGGCUCUCCCGGCGUCGCGCGAGUCGUUGAGGGGAGGCGAUGGCUAUGGAUGGCGUCGAGCAGUGGUGGAAGCCGCUCCAGCUUCCGUGCCGCGGCCUCUCAUACUAUCAGGUGCAAGUAGGUCGCCGGCAGGGCUUAGCCCCCUCAAGCAGAUGCGCUGUUGACGAGAACCGCCACCACGCCGGCGAGAGGAGUCGCGCCCUCCACUGGAUCUCGCUGGUGGGAGGAGUCGCGGUGGAGGUGUUGCUCCUGGGGGAAGCGACGACCUGCCUCGCAUGAAUUUGCCAGAGAGGUAGGCGGGGGCGCGGGGAUGGCUGCAGCCACGAGCCGGAGGGUUGGCAAAUAUUGGAGCAGUGAGGUGGUAGUUUAGUGUGGGCAACACGACAUUUUUUGGACAUGGCAAAUUUUGUUUUGGUUCACAAGAAAAUUCAUGUUUGUUUAAUGUCACCACUACUACUUUUGCCAUGCCACAUUGUUUUACCAUGCUAAUUUUGCUAAGCUUUUUGCCCUUGCAAAAAAGUUUAGCACUGACUAUGGCAACUUUAGUUUACUAUUAUCAAAACGGAUGAAAAUUCAUAGUUUUUUUUUGUUUUUUCCAUCAAACUUUACUUUAUAACGAUGGCAAUUGUGCCUUUGUUUUCAAUAUAGCAAAUUUACCUAACUCCCCAUGGCAAUAUUUAACUUUUAUUGCCAUGUCAAGUUUUUAAUAUUUAUUUGCCAUGGCAAAUUUACCUUUAUUAACACGGCAAAUUACAUAAAUCCCCAUGGCAAUAUUUAACUUUUAUUGUCAUGACAAGUUUUACUAUUUAUUUGCCAUGGCUAAUUCAUUUUUAAUAACCUGGUAAUAUUUAACAUUUAUUGCCAUGGCAAGUUUUUAUUAUUUCUUUUCCAUGGCAAAUUUAUCUUUAUUAACAUGGCAAAUUUACUUAAAUCCCGAUGGCAAUAUUUAACUUUUAUUGCCAUGACAAGUUUUUACUAUUUAUUUUUCCAUGGAAAAUUCACCUUUAUGAAAAUGGCAAAUUUAUCUAAAUCAUUAUGGAAAUAUAUGUAAAUUUUGUUAAAAAUACCAUGAUCCUUUUUGCUAUGAAUCUGCUAUGGCAAAUUAUUUUUGUUUGUAUGAUGAAAAUUGCCAUGAUUUUUUUUCUUUUUUUAGGGUUUUUGUUAAAAUAUAUUCUUUUUUACCGCAUGGCAAUUUUUCUGUGUUUGAAAGUCGGUGCAUAUUUUUUACUUAAAAAAAACUGGGAUUUUUUUAUCACGUGAAAAAAUCUGGGCUUUUUCUUCUUUUUUUGCUAUUGGGCUUUUUUGUUUCCAAAUCUGGGCUGCUGGGGAGGCGUUCGGAUUGGAGGGCUUCUCCUCCCGAGGGGAUUGAACUACCGCCUCAUCAGUACUGCAAGAGAUUGGUUACCACUGUACCAAUCGCGUGCUAGUGAUUGUAAGCAGCGCGCCUACUUAAGGAACUAUUGUACACAAAUUCACUAAUUUGAGAAACAAUGCUCACCAAUUAAACGGUUUGAUCAAUUUACCGUUGACUGUUCAAAAAAUAGGUAUAUGUUUUUUAAAAAACCCACAAAUUUAAAAAGGCAUUCACAAGAAAAAGUGCAUAGGUUAAAAAAAGUUGACGAAUUUAAAAGAAAAAAACUCACAAAAAA